rnacentral:lncRNA from 1 species
CUAAAAGAAACUUUGGAAGAAUCAAACUCAGGCUUGUGACAGCUAAAACACACUUACCACGUCUUUUAAAUGUAAAAACAGAGAGUGAGAAGGAAGAGGAGGGAGGAAAGGACGGAGAACAUUUCUUCACAAUCACCGUGAUGGAGGAAUCACACAUCAUCAGGAAGCUCGAGAAUGAUGAGUAAAAUCUGAGACUUCUGGACAAUACAGGACACACACAAAUAAUGGAAAAGACACUCAAAUAAGGUGGAAACUAAGUAAACAAUUGAAACGUGGAGUCAGAUGCCACUGACAGCCUAAGAAAGCCAAGUAGCCCAGCUUCCCCAUGGGGUUGUCCUCGGCUUUGGUGAGGGGAAGAAGCAGGGUCUGUCCUGGACACUUGUUCCUGGGCUCAGGGCCCAAGUGUUUGAUGCACAGCUUCCCACUCUUUCAAUGGAGGUGCACCUAUUGUCUCCUCAGCCAAAGACUCAGGAUCAUGAAUAACUCAUAGUAAACUCACUGGGGGGUUGUAGGCAUGGAUUUUUUGUAAACACCAUAAAAGGUCCUUGAUCCAAAAGGCUCUGCACUCAGUGCAUUACAUGUACUUUCUAUUCUCCCCAGGCCCUACCCCACCCCUACAUCAGCCCAUUAUAAUUCUUAAAGAUUUUGUGCUCAAGCCAGGGGCCCGAGUGGGGGCAUUUACCCUCCAUAUAGUGCAAACAUACACAAAGAACAAUUGACCACCAUAUAACAUAACACUUUGUAGGGUUUUCAAGCUUACAAAUAUCAGACUAAUUUUUUUUUUUUUUUUUCUUUUUGAGAUGGAGUCUCGCUCCUUUGCCCAGGCUGGACUGCAGCGGCGCUAUCUUGGCUCACUGCAAGCCCCGCCUCCUGGGUUCAGGCCGUUCUCCUGCCUCAGCCUCCCAAGUAGCUGGGACUACAGGCGCCCGCCACUGCGCCUGGCUAAUUUUUUUUUUUGUAUUUUUAGUAGAGACGGGGUUUCACCAUGUUAGCCAGGAUGGUCUCGAUCUGCUGACCUUGUGAUCCACCCACCUCGGCCUCCCAAAGUGCUGGGAUUACAGGCAUGAGCCACCGCAUCCGGCCCAGACUAAUGUUUAUCUCUGACCCAAAGGGAAAAAAAUACUUCCCAAGCCAAGUAGACCUGACCUGAAAACACCACCAUCUGGCCAAGAAACAGAACUUUUGGGAUGAUUGGAUCCAAGAAAUUGUUGUGUGGAUUAUCCAGCCUUCUUCUCCCUGGCUGCCACUCUUAGGACUAAUCACUGAUAGGAGGAAAUGCUGCUAACACAUUGAUAUAGUUUGGAUAUUUUUUUCCCUGCCCAAAUUUCAUGUUGAAAUGUAAUUCCCAAUGUUGGAGGUGGGGGCCGAUAGGAGGUGUGUGGGUCACGGGGGUGGAUCCCUCAUGGAUUGGUGCUGUUCUUAUGAUAGUGAGUUCUCAUGAGAUCUGCUUGAUUAAAAGUGUGUGGUACCUCCCCCAACUCUCUCUAUUGCUCCUGCUUUUACCGUGUGACGUGCCUGCUCCACACUUCACCUUCUGCCCAAGCAAAAGCUUCCUGAGGCCUCCCCAGAAGCCAAGCAGAUGCUGGCACCAUGCUUGUAUGGCCUGCAGAACCAUGAGCUAAUUAAAACUCUUUUCUUUAUAAAUUAUCCAGUCUCAGGUAUUUCUUUAUAGCAACAUAAGGAGGGCCUGAUACACAAGUACACACGGGCACACACACACACACACACACACACACACACACACAGACACAUACAAAGACACACACACAGAGCAGCAGCAACAUUGCUGGCAGACACAACAGUCCAUGGGGAAAGCAAGCAAACUUCCAGCCAUGGGUGUGGGAGCAUGCAUGCACAUGUACAAGUGCAAACAGGGCCUGCUUCUGCAGAAGGAGACAUUAGUAGUCGAAGCUCAUGCAGUGACAAAGGGGCAGCUGCUUACGCUUUAGUCCCCUCUGUGACCCCUGUGCAUGCAAAGCAGUCACCGACAGUGGCAGAGAGGGAAGUAGGAAGCACAGAGUGGUCGGGGUGGGGGUGGGCUGCCCCUGCUCAUGGGCACAGAAUGCAGCUUUGCUAACAGAUUAGGUGGGGCUGGUGGAAAUGGAAAAGCUGCUUAAAAUGAUUACUUAUAGAGAGAAUCCAAGGAGUUUUGUUGCUUGUGACCACAGAUAAUCAGGGGCUGCCUCCAGCACCAGUCCAACAAGCUUAAGAUGAAAGGACCCCUGUUCAGGUUCUAACCUGAGAGAAAUGUCAGAGAAGAAUUAGGAAGUGCUUUAACACAAAGCCCAGGAUGAAAAAUCUGGCAGCUCUCCAACUGUCUCAACAUGCAGCAUAAUAGCGAAACAAAGCCACUCCGCGGCUACAUUCAUCCAGCCAUGAGGCAGAAGGACUGGGAAAACUGGAUUUGGCAUGCAAGCCCUUCCCUGGGUUUUCUUCUAGCCCAGCUCACAGUUUGAGGUUUGCAAAGGCAUCUGCCUCCCUGGGCAAGAAGUUUGUCUAUACAGAGCAGAUACCGGGUUCCUCUUUUCCAUAAAUAUUUCUGCAAAAUCCAUUCAUCUUCCUGAAAUCUCCAAUUAUGAGUACACUUUGACUUUAUUUCUCAGUGCACCUUUCUUUCCCUUAGCCCGAUUCUUUCCCCCAGAUCCCCACUUUCCUAGGGCAAAAGAAAGCGGCUUCCACUCACAGCAAAUUUUCUGAGUCCUCCCCACAGUGAAGUGAAAACCAAAGAGAGAACAUUAUCAGAGAAAAGCAGCACUAUUCAUACAUCCUUAACUUUACAUAAUAAUUUCAUAAUUGCUUUUUAUGAAAUCAAGUUUAAUCACAUUUCUGCUGCAAAAAUGCUUGAAAUCGUGACUUUACGAAAGGAGAGGUUGCCAGCGUACUGCAUGGCACGCUGCUAGCUAUGGAACCCCUCAUGGUGUACUUUUGUUUGUUAAGAUUUCCAAUAUUUUAAACUCCAUUUCCUAACUCUACAGGUGCUCUCCUCUUUUUCAUAUAUGAUCCUUCCGCCUACUGCCAUCUGCCAUAGGAUUUGUCCCAUAGCCUGGAGAAACCCUCCCCCUGCUUACAGUCUUUGGAACCCAGCCUCAUAUCUUGGUUCAUCCAGAUGGUUACAGAGAUCUUCUGACAGAGUUAGGAUGCAGUAUCACUUUACCAAUAGGGGGUGUCCAGUGUAUAAUGUGCUCCAUCCUGAGGAAUGCAGGGUUUUAGAUGCUAUAACACAAACAAAUGUCCUCCUUUAAAAAUUCAUACUUUGUCAACCAGAAGUUAUUUUCAUAUCUGGUUUAAGCAUUUGCAAGAAGUGUGCCAGGAAAUACAGCAGAAUACAGAAGCUGUCUGCAAAUAGAUCUCCAAGUGAUAAGGCACAAUCUUCAGUAUGCUGCCUGUUGCAAGAGGUUUUUUAAAAAUUAAAUCUCUCAUGGAAAAUACACUGGCCUUUGCUACUAUAGGCAGCUCAGGGACAGUCAGAUGGAUGUAAAAGCCUGGGAAGUGAAAAGUUUGAGGAGCCACUGGGACUCUAUAACAUUGCCUGGUACUGGGAAUUAGGAUGGAAGGGAUAGUGAACUCACUGGUGGCCCCCUGGGAAUAUUGCUUCCCAGUCCAUGCUGAUCCACUUGUUCUUGGGGUCCCUAGACACUUCUAGAAAAGGCUAAUCCUGAAGGUUGGCCUACCCUGAAAGUCUGAGACGAUUCCCUUCUGGUGUCUUCAAGCAGCCUUCUCUUAGGUAAAACAAGGUCAGGAAGGAGCUAGAAACAAAUUUGGGGGAGAGGGAAGCUGGAUAGUGAUUUCUCUCAGAAGGCUCUCUUCCUAGGUUCUUACUGAUUAGCAAUUCAGAUUCACUGUUCUCAUAUCAGCCCAUCCUGGCAAAGGCACCUUCCUGAUUGAGUAUCAGCCAUUUAAUCAAUCAUCUUGCUUUUGUGCUGCACCUCUUCCAAUUGGUGACUCUAUUUCUCUGAUCCUAGGAGUGCAGUCCUGGCCAAUGGGCCCUUUGUAGCCCUGGGGGAGGCUGUCAUCCCAGUGAUGAAUCUGGGGGCUUCAGCAUGCCCUGUCUAUCUCAUGUGUAAUUCCAUUAAAGCAGCAGGCCAUUGGCUACCACCUAUGGGCAUCUGGGCCCUAUGGAGCCACCAUAGGACUUGACGAAUGAUGGCAUUUGAAUCAACCAUCUCUGUGCCCUGUCCAUAAUAAGGGACAUAGGAGUACACAGAAGGGACUGGGUUUCUCUUCUAGUCAGGUAAAUUCCUACCCCUCUAUCAAGAUCCAGCUCAAGAGUUACUUCCUCAAAGAGUUUCCUAACUAUUCCUAUGGCCAGAAAAGGCCUUAGAUUCAUGGUUAUCAUAUUCCCACUCUUCCUUUAAGGCUUCUUCCCAGCCCAGCUUUGGCCAUAUUCUAAGCCACUCCCUGACUCUUCAGGUUGUGCCCAGGUGCAAAUCUCCAGUCAAGCUGGCCACUCAACUGAGAGCUGAAGGUCAUUCUUCUGGCCUCUCAUGAUGAACAGAAGCAAACUACAGCUCUGAAUAUUCCUGUCACAGACCAUCACCAGACUUUUAUGCUACCUCAGUGGUACCAUAGCAGAGCCACAUGCCAAAUAGCCACUUGUCAGGAGGAUCAUUCUGCUCCAUUGUUUAAUUAUGCAAACUCAUUUGCAUCUCCUUCCUCUGUCUCUGAACAAACAGCAAUCAUGCAAAUACCAUCAGCUAUCAAGCCCUGUGGGGGCUCCAUAAAGCCUGGAUACCCUUAGGCAGUGGCCAGAGGCCUGCUGCUCUAAUGGAAUUACUGAAGAGCUACACAGGGCAUGCUGCAGUCUCCAAAACCAAUCCUGGGCUGACAGCCUCCUCCAGCGGAUACUGAGGACCCAUCAGCUAGGGAAGCUCUACUAGGACAGAGAAAUGAGGUCACUAUUUGGAAGAGGUGCAGCACAAAAGCAAGAGCAUGGUCUUGAGACUCAAGAAGACCACACUCCCCACAGCUUCUUGCCCAUGCUCCUCACCUGAGAGGGGCCCUACCUGCUCUAGUCACAAGUCCACAGAUGGUACCUUUUUGAGAGUUUAGAGACAUUGUUUGGUGACCUGGAAGUGGAGGUCAAAGCAGGCAUUUUAGUUUCAGCCCAGAGAUUGGAGUGCUUGCUCUGGACAGGACAAAGGCCCCCAAAGGCAGAACUGAGUGGCAAGUGUGGAGAGUGCACCAGCAGUAGGUGCUGGAAUUAGACUCUCUCUCAUCGCAGGACAGGAAAGGAGAGUAGCUGAAGCCAAGGUUUCUCCCAGGCAGCAAGACUUGCAGCCAGAGACAGCUUUUUGACCUGGAACCAGUCUGUGUAUGCCACUACUGGAUGCCCCAGCCUGCUCCCUUGGUCAGCUGGGGGACAGUGGCCUACCAGCUGAGGAGCAAGAGAGAGGUGGAACCCCCUCCCCUGGAGAUCUAACCUCAAGCACAGUCUACCCUUAAAGAAGGGAGAAUCACAGCCCAUCAAAGUCCCCACUGAGUCAAAGAAAAUGUGAGUGUGGUGCCAGCUGCUAAAGGGAGCACCACCAAAGCCUGGAAAUGGACCUGGAGAGGGGAUAAUAUAUCACCUUCCACCAACCUCCUCAGUGCACUAUUGUGGACUCAUCAGUGGCUCUUUCUGUUGGGGCUCAGGGAGCAUGGGCUGAAAGAAACCACUUCUCAGACUUCUCCAGUGAAUCCAUCCCCAGUGAAGGCAAACGCACACUGGGAGGUGUUGCUUUUCAUGCUUCUCCCUUGCCUCUGUCCCUGCCGCUAACUGCCGGCUCUUACUCUUAAGCCACUUACUGGACUGCAGCCUGAAUUACAUCACCAAACAAAAAUUACGUUGCUACAAUAAGCAAUGUGUGAGAAGCCAUAGCACAAAACUAUGUGCAAACAUGGAACUCAUACAGAGCCUUGGUGCCCUGAAAGCUCCCAGAAAUGAAGCAGUUGCUUAUGCACAAUAUAUACCACAGUCAUACCCCAAGGGGAAAAAAGAAUUAAAAAAUCAAGAAGCCCUAUCCAAACCUAUCCAAAUGAUAGACACACACACACACACACACAUAUUUUAUAUAUAUAUAUAAAGAAGUGCUGGCUCUCUCAGGUGAGAGGGAACCAGUGCAAGAAGCACUGCAAUAAAAAAUCCAGAGUGUUAUGUUACCUCCAAGAGACCCCACUAGCUCCCAAGCAAUGGAUCUGAGCCAGAAUGAAAUGUCUGGAAUGACAAACAUAGAAUUCAGAAUAUGGAUGGCAAACACCAAUACCCAAAAACAUCACAAGCAAGUUGAAUUCCAAUACAAAGAAGCCAGGAAAACAAUCCAAGAUUUGAAAAACAAUAUGGCUAUAUUAAGAAAAAAUGAAAGCAAGACUCUGGAAUUGAAAAAUUCACGGCAGGAAUUUCAAAAUAUAGUAGGAAGCCUUAACAACAGACUAGACCAAGCAGAAGAAAGUAUUUCAGAACUCUAAGAUAGGUCCUUUGAAUUAACCCAAAUUUGUUUGUUUGAAUCAACAAAAAUAAAGAAAAAAGAAUUUUAAAAAAUGAACUAAGCCUUCAAGAAAUACGG